CACCGCGGUUAUACGAGAGGCCCAAGUUGAUAAGCAUCGGCGUAAAGGGUGGUUAGGGAAAAUUAUACAAUAAAGCCGAACAUCUUCAAAACUGUUAUACGCCCUCGAAGAUCUGAAGCCCCACCACGAAAGUGGCUUUAUAUAGCCCCGAACCCACGAGAGCCAGGGAA
rnacentral:rRNA from 1 species